UUAAAAAUAUCAAACUAUUAAAACAAGGUUCCUUCCUUUCUUCUUCUCUUCGCAUGUUUUAAUUUAAAAAACAUUCCUUGUAUGUUUGAAAUAUUUGAGUCUGUUUAUCAAGAGGAAUUAGUAGUAUUCUGAAGAUUAGCCGCAUGAAGAAGAGGAGAUUUGUCACCUGUUUUUAUUUAUUUAAUAUUUUGACUUCUUGCAAAUAGGGUGAGGUAUUUCUGCUGUCUAAGUACAUCAGUUGAAGCACUGACUGUUCUUUAAUUUCCAUUUAUUGUGUUUUUCUCUUUUUAGAACUCAGUAUUCAUAAUGUGGAAGGAGGAAACAACACCAAAGCAAUAGAACUGUUCAGUGAAGCCAUCAGAUUAGAUCCCAAGGAUUACAGUUUGUCCUGUAGAAGGAGUGAUUAUUGGACUGAUACACCCUGGGAAACCAGCAGUAGUGGAUAACACAACAAGAGAGAACGGAUGUUCAAGCAAUAUUCAUUUCCUGAGAUACUAUUCAGAUAUUUUGGGAACCAUUCAUACUGCUAUGAGCUGUUAAAGUUUUAUCCUAAGGCAUUCAUUGACACUGAAGUUUCCAUCCAACUAUUCAGAUUGCCCUAAAGGCUAUUUCAGAAAAGGAAGAGCUUCGCGAGGCUGCAGAGUAAGAAACCCCUUUCUCUAUCUUUAUCAAUUCUGCUUUCACGGUAGCACAAGUAGGUCACUAAGGGAGUCAAAAAGGACUUUUGAUUGUUGUACGGUCCUCCCAAGAAAACAUCUUUAGUAUCUUUAUUAUCAGAGCUGUGUGACAAGGGGAUACCUAAAUGUCUACAUUGAUGCAAUUUGUAUUCGGUACGUAAACAUGGCAGUUUAGUUUUUUGACACAUUUCUCUAUGAAGGAUAAAUAGGGCAGAAAUUGCAAUGGAUGACUUUGUCCCUGCACACUCUUUAACAAAGGGAAAAUAAAAACACCCUUGCAAAAACGAAUAUUGUCAGUGUAGAUCUGUGUUCCGCUUAAUCCAAAUUAUUAUGGUUAGGUGCAUCUCUGUUUCUCGGGCAUAAAAACUUUUCUCAAGGUGCAUUUUAAGUUGUAAGGAGAGAGAAAGAUCUGGUGGUUCAAAUGUUGAAUAUAUUUGGCUGAUCUUGAGCAUUGGUUUUAUAUGCCUUUCUUCAAUUUAAAGAAAAUGUCACUGCACAGAUCUGGGAUUUAUAGGUGGUCAAAUAUGGCACAGCCAGGAAUCUGCAGGAUAAUGUGUAUUCUGGCCAUCCACAAGAAUGGACACUUUCUAUGAAGACCUGAGCUCAUAGCCUUGUUGGUAUUUUGUGACAAAUGCAGGCAAUUCUUUAUUUCUACGUUUAACUUCUUACUAAGGUUUUUAUUCAGGCCAACAACACAAAACAUAAUCUUCAAGGAACAUGUGGUUUUACUAACUCAGUUGUAUGUAGUCAUUGGGUGAUCUGCCCCUCUAGUUUUCUGGUUGUUUAGCUGGCUGACAAAAGUCUGAUGAUCCCUAGAUGAACUUCUAGUUACAAUUUAUCUAGUCUCUAGUCCUUGUAGAAUGGGCACUUUUGUCUAUUACCUAAUUGAAGUAAUUACCAUGUAUUCAACCCUCAAUAAAAUAAACAGUAAUAGAUUUCUUAAGUACAGUGAUUUACUCCAGAACCAACAUUGACCUUUAGAGAGGUGGGUUAUUUAUGUUGUGAUAAAAAGGGGAAAGACUAUUCUACACUAACAUUAUGUUGAUUGUGCCAUUGAUUGCUCCUUUCUUUACUGCAGUAUACGAGAGGGGUAGCCUGGGGGUCUAUUAGAGCAGUGACCCCCCCCCCCCCCCAAACAGUGGCUCAUGAGCAACAUGUUGCUCA